GAAGGGUACAAGGUCAGCUGCACUGACUCACCCAGGAAGGUGAGAGGGCAAUGACCAAAUAUGAAGCCGAGCUGCCUGUCAGGGAAGCCCUUAGAAGAACAGGAAGUGGGAUCAGCUGCUUUGUCUCUCCAAAGGACCUGGACACAUGCUUGCAGUUGCCCAGCUAGGGAUUCUGCCAAGGAGGAAUAACUGGUAUUGUAUGAAUUGCCUGGAAUCAAAACACAAAGAGUGAAGCUUCUCUUGGGAGAACCUCAAUCUCAUUGUCACCUGCCAUCUUGGAAGGGGUUGCUCACAAUCGUGGUAUGCAGCUACGGGAAUGAAGACAGGUUAAGAGGGAUAUGAGAUGUGAAGAGGCACCCAAGGAGGUCUGGGUGUAGGCUCACAGACUGAAGUGUACACCCAGGGACAUUCAACAACAUUCCAAGAUGAUGUCACCAGGGAGAGCUCCGUUAAGUUGCCAUUGAAGAAGUCCUCUCAUCCAUUUCCCAAAACUCAGAGUUGAAAGCACACAUGUUACAUGAGUAUAAAGAAACUGUUCAAAACUAAGAGAGCGUGUCACAGCAGUGGGAUACCUGCACUUGGACUAUCAUACCUUUGGAAUGUGCGACCCUCAUUCUCCUGCAAGAAGACAUUGGAUUUUCUGGAAAAGGAUGUUGGAGUCUUUUCUCUGUACCCUAGAAUUAUUAUGGAGGGAGAGGUGCCUCAGUCCCAUAAAUUCUUCCUCUCCUGUUCCUUGAGCAUGUUGUUGUUUUACCUCUGAACUGUGUGGGGUGAUGUGGGCUGGGGCUUAGGAAUGAUACUGCUGUAAUGGAAAAGGAAUCCGAAGAGCACUGUGGCACCGCAUGGACAGGGUUGAGACCUGCGAACCAUCCAUUAGAAUAUCCAUUCCCAUUUUUAGGCUGCCUUAAAAGACAAUGCCCUGUCUUCAUAGCCUGACCUUGAAUCUAUUACACAGUUGGAUUCCGAUUUCUCUUUCCUAAAUCUCAAAACAGAUCAUUUCCCUACUGCAUGCAUUUUCCCAACCCUCACCAUAUGAGGCAGAUGCUAUGAUGAGAAAUCUGAUACUCAAAAGUCGAAAUUUUGCUGAGUAGACCCAACCUAUUCAUAUAUGGAGGCAAAAGUUAAAUUUAAUCUGUCUCCUGGGUUCCAAAGUCAGUGAUUCCCCCCACCAACAGCAUGUUGCUACUGACUACCCCUCAAAACAAGAAAUAGGUAAUCUUAUGUGGUGUUUUGAAUGAGAAAUGUCCUCCAGAAUCUCAUGUAUUUGACAAUUUAGUCCCCGUUUAGUGGCGCUCUUGAAGGAAAUUGUAGAACCUUUACGAGGUGGAGCCCUCCUGGAGGAAAUAUGUCACUGGGGGUAGGGUUAAAGACUUCAUAGCCUGGGCCCACCUCUCUCUCUCUCUGCUUCUUGUUUGCUGUUGAAGAUGGGAUCUUUCAGAUCCCAGCUCCUGCCACCUGCUGCCAUUUCAGAAGCUCCCUUUGAUCCAGAAGCCAAAAUAAACUCUUUCUUCCGCAAGUCAUUGUUGGGCACGGUGUUUUAUCACAGGAACAGAAAUGAACUCAUGCAUCUUGCAAAGGUGUUUCUCGAUCCUGU